GCUGUAUUUAAAUCUCAAGAAUUCAUAGUAGCCUUAUGAAUAUAGGCUAUGUGUCAAGUUCCUACACUUUCAGACAAAUCUUGAAAUAUAUGUUAAAUGUACAUAUGACAAGGUUCAUACAGGCACAGCCUAAUGAAAAUCAAGGAAUUUUAAGCACUUUUUCCAGCACCCUCACACACACUCAGCCCCGCCCCGCUACUGAAAUGACGCGCAAGCCAAUUGUAACAGAGCAGUCCUCUCAAGACACCUAUGGAAGUUGUAGCGUGCAGUUCUUUCAAACAGGCUCUAACGUUAGAUAUUAAAAAGAUAGGAUAGAUAGCCCAAUACGUUUUUUUUACAUUUUCAUCAAAGAUGGACCACUUAAUCUUGCUCUUUAAAUUCACGGGAUCUGUUAUCUGUGAAAUGCUGUCAGUGUUCUUUCUGAAUGUCCGGAGGAUGCUGACUUCUCUUUUCUGCUGUGGAGCCAAUAAUGGGAACACAGAAGAGAAUCUGCCUCUGUCUGUUGAGGAGACUGCGUUCACUGGUCCAAUUUCAUUCUUAUGAUGAAGAAGAGGAAAACAACCAAUUACAAGUCAUGGAUCCCCUCCCCUGCUAAAAAAGCUUAAACCAUACAAUCUAAGCUGGUUACCUGGUUUUAGCUGGUCGACCGAGGGCUUUUGGCCAUUUUCAGGCUUGUGUAUACAGAAUGUGUACAUUUAAAUACGUAAUUUCAAAACCAGAACAUUACCAUUAAAAUAUAAUAGUUUUAAGCUUCAUAUACCAAAUAAUAUGCCAUUUCAAAAUGUAUUUUAGGGUCCAUUUUUAAUUUCACAAUAAAAUGGGCAUGGAGGUCUAAAGGAUGGAGGUUUUAACCCAUGCUUGGUCAAAUAUA